AAGGAUGUAGCACAGCUUGGUAGCGCGUUUAUUUUGAGUACAAAAUUUCACGGGUUCAAAUCUUGUCAUCCCUA
rnacentral:tRNA from 1 species